UCUAUAUGGUGGAUGAAGCCUCCGGCCAAUGAAAACCAUCUGAAUGAAGAACUAAGGAGGUGGAAGGCACAAUAUGCACUUUUUUUUUACAUUGAUGGGGAUUGAAGAGAGCUACAACUGGACAAGUUACAAGAAAUCUUUAUUUUGCUUGCUUCAGUAAGAGAAGGAAAUUUGCAACAUUUUGGUUCCCUGUACAUUGAAACUAUGAGUAAAUUAAAUCCUGAAAAUGGAGGAAGCAACAUAUUCCUGGACCAUUCCAACCACAGGACUCAGCCCAGAGAAAUCCAG